rnacentral:misc_RNA from 1 species
GGAUGGAUUAAUGCAAAAGCUACAAUCCCUGUUUGGGCAAAAAUGACCCCCAAUAUCACUGACAUUUCACAGCCUGCAAGGGUGGCUCUGAAAUCAGGGUGUGAGGGAAUAGCGGCCAUCAACACGAUCAUGAGUGUAAUGGGAAUCGAUCUCAAGACCUUACGUCCUGAGCCUUGUGUUGAGGGGUACUCAACUCCAGGAGGCUAUUCUUCCAAGGCAGUUCAUCCUAUUGCUCUUGGUAAAGUGUUGAGCAUUGCAAAAAUGAUGAAGGCAGAAUUUAACGAUGGAGACUACUCUCUUUCUGGCAUUGGGGGUGUCGAAACUGGGGGAGAUGCUGCCGAGUUUAUUCUACUCGGAGCAAACACUGUUCAGGUGUGUACGGGAGUGAUGAUGCAUGGGUAUGGCCUUGUAAAGAAACUUUGUGCUGAGCUUAAGGACUUCAUGAAACUUCACAAUUUCUCAUCCAUUGAAGAUUUCAGAGGGGCAUCUCUUCCGUAUUUCACGACCCACACGGAUUUGGUUCGUAGGCAGCGGGAAGCAAUCGAGCAAAGAAAAGCUGUUAAGAAGGGUCUGCAAUCUGAUAAAGAUUGGACAGGCGAUGGCUUUGUUAAGGAAACUGAGAGUAUGGUUUCAAACUGAAAGUCUAAACACAGAUCAAUCAAGCGUUUACUUUGUGUUGGCAUUUGAAAUAACAAAAGAUGGUCUUUGUGUCCGAGUAAAGUUUCUUUCUUUCUUCCUCCUUAAAGAGUGACG